rnacentral:rRNA from 1 species
CCUACGGGUGGCAGCAGUGGGGAAUAUUGGACAAUGGGCGAAAGCCUGAUCCAGCCAUGCCGCGUGUGUGAAGAAGGCCUUCGGGUUGUAAAGCACUUUCAGUGGGGAAGAAAGCCUUGGGGCUAAUACCCUCGAGGAAGGACAUCACCCACAGAAGAAGCACCGGCUAACUCCGUGCCAGCAGCCGCGGUAAUACGGAGGGUGCGAGCGUUAAUCGGAAUUACUGGGCGUAAAGCGCGCGUAGGCGGUCUGAUAAGCCGGUUGGGAAAGCCCCGGGCUCAACCUGGGAACGGCAUCCGGAACUGUCAGGCUAGAGUGCAGGAGAGGAAGGUAGAAUUCCCGGUGUAGCGGUGAAAUGCGUAGAGAUCGGGAGGAAUACCAGUGGCGAAGGCGGCCUUCUGGACUGACACUGACGCUGAGGUGCGAAAGCGUGGGUAGCAAACAGGGUUAGAUACCCUAGUAGUC